CAGCAGCCACGGGAAUACGUAGGUGGCAAGCGUUGUCCGGAAUUACUGGGCGUAAAGCGCACGUAGGCGGCUUUGUAAGUUAGAGGUGAAAGCCCGGAGCUCAACUCCGGAAUUGCCUUUAAGACUGCAGAGCUAGCAGGUGAGAGAGGUGAGUGGAAUUCCGAGUGUAGAGGUGAAAUUCGUAGAUAUUCGGAAGAACACCAGUGGCGAAGGCGGCCCGCUGGACAUGUAUUGACGCUGAGGUGCGAAAGCGUGGGGAGCAAACAGGAUUAGAUACCCCAGUAGUCCCUGUCUCUUAUAA
rnacentral:rRNA from 1 species